AUGGAGGGCGGAAGUUCGCGACGCGAGGCUGUCACCGCCGACCGGCGGAACAGGGCCAUCGCCAAGAAGGCCCGCGACAAUGCGGCGCGCGCGGCUGCGGCUGCCUCAUCGGCGGACCAGGCGGGGAUGAUGAAUCCACCCGGUAGCCACGCCCAGUACGCGCCCUGGGGACAGCAAGGCGUCGGUUCUCCGCAGCCAUGGGGAUCGCCCUCGCCGGGCUACGCCGACGGGGACGCGCACGGUGGGUUCAACCCAAACAUGACCUUCCUCAUGGACACCCGGCCCAGCGCACACCCUCGCCCCGCCUUCGCCGGCGUGCAGUACCCUCCAUACAACUACUCGCCGCCCGCCUACGCGUCCUCACCGACGCCCCCUUUCUGCCGUGGCCCGCUGCCCUUCUCGCACCUCGGCAACACCGACGAGACCGAAGCCGACAUGGACGACAUCAUCGCAACAGGUUCGGCCGCGGCCGCCAUGUCUCCCGGGUUCGUCACCCAGGACGAGACGGUGGAUCUCAGCGGCGGCAUGGACGGCGAGCUCGGCUACGUCUAUGGCGAGGACGAGCAGGAGGCGCAGGAGGACGAGGAGGAGGAGGAGGAGGAGGAGGAGGAGCCGGCGCCUGUUCCGACGAAGGGGCGCAAGAAGAAGAAGCAGGCGGCCAGGCCAGGCGAGCCGCGCAUCAAGUGGGCGUCCAAGGAGGAGGAAUGCCUCGCCGAAGCAUGGAAAGUCGUCUGCCUCAACCCGACCACCGGCACGAACCAGAGCUUCGAGACGUACUGGGACCGCAUCAAGGCCGAGUUCGACGAGCGGAAACUCGUCAACCCCUACUUCAAAGGCGUCAACAUGCAGCGCGGCUCCAAGGCGAUGGCGAACCAUUAG
rnacentral:rRNA from 1 species